UCUGGAGCGGCGGGGUGGGGGCGUGCGGCGACACGUGAUCAAUCUUAACCGAAACAACUGCGGAUACUGUAAAUCAGGAACAAAAACAGAAGUUACUGGAACAGCUCAACAGCUCUGGCCGCAUCUGUGAAAAAAAAAUCAGAGUUAACGUUUCGUGUCCGGUGACCCUUCCUCAGAACAGCAACGUUCCGGCCGGUGUUUGCACGCAGGCGCAGCGUCAUUCUGACCGCCGUAAGCUGGUGAUUGCCGGUUUUGUCGGAGCUGGUAAAGGAACAAAGAAUAAGCUAUUGGGGAAACAGUGAAUGUUAGUGUGGUCUGGGAGACUUUAUCACCGUUUGUGUACAACUGUAGAUCCGAAUUAGAGCUUCUUGGUCAUGCGUUUUCAGUAAACUGAAAAGGGCUGCAGGCUUCAGGCCGCGAGAGGCCCAGGUUACCGCCAGAAUAUUUAUUGGCCCCAAAGCCCCGCGUGUUUCGGACAGAAUGGUCCCUGCUUUGCACUGAGGACCUGGGGGUUGGAAGCGUUUUCUUUCUCAAUGAACUACCACAGUAAAUCUGUACUCCACAACUUAAAGGGCUCUCGUAUCUUUUCUGACCAGAAUUGGAUGCAAUGAUUGACUGUGACCUCACCAGAUCUUUAUCAAGGUUCAGCAUCUUUUCCGGUCCCAAUGCACUGCCACCGAUGUUGGAAUUUGGGAUCUCUGGGUUUAUGCUCCCAUCCCAGAAUGUGAUUUUUGAAGUCCCGGUGGUCCCUCUGGAUUACCACACCUAGAGCCUGGAUGAAGACUUGGGACUGUGUGGGUUUGUACGUUUGGGUUGAGUCGGCUGAUGCGCAAAGGUGUGUUUUGGGUUCAUGUACGGGAUGGCCUUCUGGAGGAGGUACUGGGUGCGGGUACAGUUACAGCAUUUAAAAGGCAGUCGGCUACUGAAAGUUGCUGACUGAGCAGAAUUCCUGACUCCAGUCUCGUCCAUCACCAUGUUGAAGUCAACUGGAAAAUUCAAGCGACGACGGACAGGGAGAUCUGGAGCAUUCGUCAGAUCCUGCAGUCAGGAGUUUUGUCACCGUGCCUGGAGACAGCCUUUGAAGCAAUGUUAUUCUACUGUGCUGGGAAUUUAUGCUGUCCAGUCCAUUAUGUUCUUGCAAGAAAAAACCUGGCCAAAGAAACACUGACUGCAGUAUUAUGAGAAGAACAGAAGACACAUACACCAGACACCACCAACCUCAUCAGCAAGGACAACAUCAUCAAGCUAGUGGACCUAUGCCUCACCACCCACUUCACUUUCACUAAUAAAACCUACAGACAAACCAACGGUACACCCAUGGGAUCUCCGAUAUCAGGGUUCUUAGCAGAGGCAGUAAUGCAGAGACUCGAACAAACAGCUCUGCCAACCAUCCAACCCAAACUUUGGGUCUGCUACGUGGAUGACACCUUUGUCAUCACGAAACAAAACAAAUCAGAGGAAACCUUCAAGACCAUCAAUAAUACCCUUACUGGCAUAACAUUCACAAAAGAGGAGGAAAACAACAACAAACUGCCAUUCCUAGGUGUCACAGUAGAGCGAACAGUCAAUGGGGAACUUCAAACCAGCGUCUACAGGAAAACAACACAUACGGACCAAAUACUGAACUACAGGAGCAACCAUCCCAACACCCACAAACGAAGCUGCAUUAGAACAUUAUUCCAACGAGCCACUGCACACUGUGCAGCACAGAGGAACUACGAAGAGCAGAAGAAAAUCACCUAUACAGCGUAUUCAAAAAGAAUGGGUACCCUAUGAACACCGUCCGCCGAUUUCUCAGCAACAAACCCAAACAAACAGACAAAACAGGCUCAGAAACCAUAACCACGCUCCCCUACAUUAAAGACAUUUCUGAAAUGACUGCCAGACUACUCGGACCUCUUGGCAUCAGGGUAGCCCACAAACCCACCAACACACUAAAACAGCAACUAAUGAACUUAAAAGACCCUAGACAGACAACGAGCAAAACGAAUGUCAUUUACAAAAUACCUUGCAAGAACUGUGACAAGCACUACAUUGGACAAAUGGGCAAAACGCUAGCCACCAGGAUACAUGCUGCAAAAAGAAAAUCGGAGAUGGCAAAACCGAUCUGCAGCGAAAGUGAUCACACAUGAAAACGCAAAAGCAGAUCACUAAGCAAAGACACAAUCUUUUCGGUCGCUUUCCCUGGUGGACUAGUGGUUAGCAUUUGGCACUUUCGCCGCUGCGGCCUGAGACCAAUUUCCCCGUAAGGGAAUGGAAGCUCUGUAGUACUACUCUAUGUUGGUGAUAGCGCUUCUGACUGAUUUUUCAGGAGCUGACACCCGAUCUGUUUUGUCCCAAAAGUUAUCAUUUAAGAUAAAACAAAUCUGACAAUCUGACACAAAAACAGUAACCCAAAGAGAAACUCAGCAAGCAUGGUAAUAUCUGCAGAGGGAAACAUUUCGGAUCCACUGACCAUUCGUCACUGCCAGGUUAUCUGUGUUUCUAUAGUAAUAUGCUGGGAGACAUUGUUAACUUUAUCUUUUGAAUCAUUUAUUUAUCAAAAUCACACUUGCUCCUUAGCUUACCAGCAUUAACUUUUGAACUUUAAAGGGACUUGAACAGCACUAUUGCUCCUUCUGUUGCCCUGAGGUAAUGAGAUCCUCUGUUUUUUUUUCUUUUCUGUCAGCAGCCAUGUGAAGUGGAGAAUUGGUCCUUCCAGUGUCUACCACAGUAAGCUUCUACUUAUCUCUCUUUGUCUCUGUGUAUCCACCUGGCCGUCUUUCACAUUAUCUAACAGCCCAUCUGUAUAUACCCCUCAUUUCCUGUUUAUGCUCUGUGUAAAGUCUGACAUUCGGAGACACUCUGAGAAUGGGAUGUUUUGUACUGGACUUACAUUCCUCAGAUAAUGUGUCUUUUGUUAUGGCUGAGGUAAGGAGACAUUUCUUGUCUCAAAAGAUUAUGAAUCUCCAGAAUUUAAAUUGGAAUUCCUAAUCCACCAGGAAAAAAAACAAUGUCACAAUUAUAGGAUUAUAGCGAUUGUCUUUACUGUUGGUGUAAAAUGUUUGAUUGAUGACACCAGAGAAUGAGAGGGAUUGGCUUGUGGUCUCUGUGCUAAGACCACCACAUUCCUGGUAAGGGUGCAGUUUAUCCUGCCUCACCUCGUUACUCCUGCCAAACGGGGAAUGAAGGGAUGAGAAUACAAGUAAAGGUGAAGCAGAAGUGCUUGUGGAAGAGCAGAAAGGAACUUUAUGAUGAAUCCAGCAGUAAAAGAGACCCUGAAGCAGACUCGUGAUGUCAAAUGUGUUUUCUUUGCCAGUAAAACUCACCGUCACUGCUUCAAUUCAAUGGUCCCUGCUUUGUGAGGCGGUAUCUUUGCUGGUUGUUCACACUGUGAAUGUUACCAUUGCUGCUCAUGUUCAUGCUAACUCCACAACUCUAAUGCAUGUAAGCAUCACACAUAAACUGGAGAUUGGAGCUGAAAACCGAGAGACCUCCAGCUGUGCAACAAGACUAGCUCCCUGCAUUAGGAGCUUCGGCAAAGCUUCAUGCCAAUAGCUUCGGUUUUGCAAAUAGCCAGUGCAUUCAGUUAUUGAGAGAAAGAUUGGCGUUUCAAGGCUACCCAAGAGCCCAGCUUCUUUUAUUUUGUUACCCUGUGAUGUUGCCGGUGAUACAGAAGAUCGUCAAUCGGGAUUAUGCCUUCAGGAGAUAGCUUCGAAACUUUGUCAGCUCCACUAUUUUCUAGUCAGACCUCCAGACAUCCAGGUUUCAAAGCAGUUAUUCUCAACAUUGUGAUCCGACAAUAAACCAACUAUGUACCUGCAUUUAGUUAAUUGAAGUUUAUGAAGAGAUUGGAAUCAAACAAACCCAUCAACGAUCGUGUCUUCCCCAGCUCCACGCUCAGUGAGACAGGGACAAGCAGCAGGAUUUUGUCAUCACACUGUCCAUGGCCACUGCAUCUUCAAUCAGCUGCUUGCUGCACAUCCCUGGCAGGCAAGAUCCUACAACCAGGGCCAAUCUUCUCCAUCCACCAAGCACAAGAUCAAGAAAAAAACAGGAAGAUUUCUCCCGCUCAGUAAAUCCCAGAGCACCAUUGACACAAUCUCCGCGUGAGUGGAAUUUUCUCUUAGCUCCACUUGGGAAAACGUAACUGACACUCCGUAUGAACGUCUCUUCUCCUGUGAAAAAUGACAUUUCACAAGGUAUGCAGCAGAUUCUUCUUGAUCUUUGAAUAGUUUUUAACUGAAGUGUGAAAAUCCAGCCCCCAAAUGCGAAGCUACAGAAGUUGCUGAUGUACUGAUCAAACAAAGUGCUGAAAGUAUUAAGUGAGACUGGGCAGACAGACACACAUCUCACACAAUCUGUAACAGAAAUCACUGGGUUUAUUGCAGCAGAUUCACCAUCCCAGAGUGACUGACAGUCACAUGGGCAGCUAAAGGAUGAGGGCACCGACAUUAAAAUAUGAAUUUUGAAUGUUAAAUGAAAAUGGGUUAUUAUGGUCUGAAGGAGUAACAGCUGAAAAGUGGAAGAUGUAAAUGAUAUUAUUUGUGAUUGAGCAGAAUAAACUGGGAACUUGUGAUUUUCGAGGUGGAUCAUCUUUGGCACAUUGAAAUGAGGUUGCAGGGGCUUUGGUGUGAAAAGGGAAAAUAAGGAUUUUAGAUAAAUAACAAGACAACCAAGUCAAGCCUGGCUAGCUCAGUUGGUAGAGCGUGAGACUCUUAAUCUCAGCAUCGUGGGUUCGAGCCCCACGCUGGGCGUCGUAGCUUCUUACUGCUUUGCUUUCUGUGAUGAAGCAUAGCUUUCCAACGUUAUCAGUGAAACGAGCAGCUGCAGCUAUGCUGAAAACAUGACUGCACUUCUGCUGUGAAAAUCCUGGUUUCCAGUUUUGCAGUGAAAUUUGAUUCCACUUCCCUGGAAAUCGCAGAGAUCGUUUUGGACAUGCAGCCGCUUGUGUAAUAAAUGACAGGACUUGCAAAGGCACUAACGCAACUCCAACCCUGCACCAAUAAGAUUGUUCAAAGUCACAAACUGAGAAUGGUCACGUCCUGGGCAGCUCCAUGUUAAAUGGAGCUGAAACAGAACGAACUAACUCUGGGGAUACCACGGAAAACAUCGAUGACGUCUACUUGAACUCAAUGGCUAUCCUCCUCGCCCAUUUUCUUGGCUGCUCGAUAGCGCCCUGCUACAAUAUUAAUUUCACACCAAAUGCUGAUAGUUCUUCAAUCAAAACAAAUACCAACAGAAAGCUUCGGUCCCUCUCCAUUGUGGGUAAGAACCUGGUUGUCAGGUGCAAGGGGCUUUUGGUACUGUUGUAUGUGGCGCAGACCUGGCCUAUUCCCUGGACCUGCGCCACUGCGGUCACCCGGUCCAUCUUCCACUUCAUUUGGGGAUCGAAAAUGGACCGGGUCCGCAGGGACACCAUGUACAAAGACCUGGAAAAUGGGGGAAAGGAUGUACCGAACGCCACCCUCGCCCUGAUGGCUACCUUUGUGUGUGGCUGCAUCAAGCUCUGGGUAAAUCCUCAGUACGCAAACACCAAGUGUCAUUACUUACUGAGGUUCUACCUGUCCCCGGUGUUGCGAAGGAUGGGCCUGGCCUUGUUGCCGUGGAACGCUCCGAGUAAUUGGACCGUCGCAUACCACCUGUCCUUCGUGGAGAAGUUUAUGAAAGGAGACACCUUUUGACCACAAGGCUGUCAGGUAGUGGUCAGCACGUAGUAUCCUCGAGACCCUUCGGGAAAAGGAGAGGGUGGAUCCCGUCGUGUGGUUCCCCUCGCAGACUCCCAAAAUCGUUUGGCAGAAUGCCUCAUCCCCAGAACUUUCAAACAAGCACAAGGACAUUACUUGGCUGGCAGUGAGAGGGGCUCUUCCAGUGAGAUCCUUUAUGCACACCUGGAAUCUCUGCGCCACCCCACGCUGCCCUUGAGGCGGAUGUUGGGGUGAUGAGACUGUCAAUCACCUCCUUCUCCCUGCUCUACGGGCUGUUCCUGGGACGCACACCUAGACCAAAAUCAACUGCGCCUGGAGGACCAUCAAUGCGGUGAAAGAUGCUCUUUGGUCUGCCCGCAACUUGCUGGUCUGCCAGCUGAAAGAACUGACCCCGACCGAGUGUUGCAGACUGGCCCACUCCAAGGUCCAGGACUACGUGCUGAUAACGCGCUAAAGCUUGGGGCAGCCGCCGCCAAGGCGCGUUGGGGAAAGACCACCAAAUGAAACCCCUCGUCCAGAAUGGAAAAAAAGGGACCUAUCUGGUAACUGGGCCCAGCUGGCGCCUUCCCCAACUGGUCAGGGGGCUAACGGGGACUCUGUGGGGAGACGACUGCCGGGGUAUUUUCUUUGCCUUGUAUUUUUUUCUUUGUUUUGUUUUUGCCUUUCGUUGGUGUCCGUACCCCCUGGGUAACCAGGAGCAGCUUGCAUGACUGGGUCGGUGUAUAAAUGUUUUAUUUUUUGUACUUUCUAUGAAUAAAGUAUAUUUUUUUCAAAUAAAAACAAGUGAUGAAACGUCUGAAAAUGAACCUUACAGCUCAGUGAGCAAACUUGCAUCCUCGAUAUUAGUUCUGGUGAAAUGGAGUUUCGGUACAGUUUAGAAACAGCAAGGGACUGAAAUUGACCGUGGUCCGUGUACAUACACCCCAGUCAACUAUCGUGGUAAUUUUAGCAGAAGGCACUAAACAGGAAAUUGAAGACACCAGGAGAAAGGGGGAGCUCUAAUUAUGAUGAAUGGCCAUUGACUUCAAGAGUCAGGUGACUUCAGUCUGCAUAAAGAUUGGGCAAAGCGAAUCAGUUAUCAUUCCAUACAGGAGGAAUUUCUGACGUACUUUUUAAAUUCAUUCACGGGAUGAGGGCAUCACUGGCUAGGCUAACAUUUAUUACCCAUUCCUAAAUGACCAGAGAGCAGGGAAGAGUCAAACGCAUUGCUGUGGGUCUGGAGUUACAUGUAAGCAAGGAAGGCAGUUCACUUCCCUUAACUGAUAACGGUUCGUAUUGAAUUUAAAUUCCGCCGUCUGCUGCAACGGGAUUCAAACACAAGCUCCCAAAAUACUAUCUGGGUUUCUGGAUUAAGUGUCCAAUGAUGACGACCUCAGGCCAUUCUCUUCCCCAAUGAAGUGUGUGCUGUGCGGGUUUCUGGAUCAACACUUUGAGGAACCAACAAGCAAAACUGAAGUUUGAGGUGGGAAGACUGUGCUCAUGCCCCCUCGGGGAAGUGAACCUCAUUUUCACCCACAGAAGGAAAGAAACAAGGACGCCUUCCACCGAGAGUGCCAGAGGCUUUCGGAGAGAGCAAUCCCCAGAAAGCAGAACUUUACUCACUUGGCUCUAUUGUCCCAUUCCAGACUCCAAAACUAGAACCUGUUUACAGCAACAAAUGGAAGUAUUUGACGGAUGCCCUGGGUUUGUGCUCCUCCCCCAUUGCUCACCUACAGUUUUCCUGCUUCACCUUGUACUUCCAGCCAAACAUCACUGAUGCCAGCUGCUUCCUGCCAUUCCAAAUGCUGCUCCUCAAGUGGAAGGACAAACAGCAAUGUGGAAAUUCACACAUAUUUCCGGCCUGUGGAGGAAAUGAUACUGUUAUAAUUUCAGAUAAUUUUUAAAGGGCUCUUUUUGACCUUUGAAGCAGGGUGUGUACAAACACUAUCACAGGCUCGAACUCACAACCACUUGUUUCUGAGACCAGUGCUCUGACCACUGAGCUGUGGAGCCAGGCACAAGGCAUGGAAAGAGGGUCUCAUGUAUUGGAAAUAACAAAAGAAUAGAUAACUGGAGACUAUUAUAUAUCAAGACGUAACAAAACCGAAACAGAGCAGAGGGGCAUCAUGUGCAGAAGGUUGGGAGAAUGCAAGGCCGAAUCAGACAGUGUCCUGAGUGCCAUAAACUGAUCUUUCCUGCUGGUCCAGUGAUUACGAUUCAGUGCCUUCACUGUCGUAGCCUGUUCAUGGUUAUCAUUUAAAGUAAUAAAUCUGAAAUAUUGACUGAUCUUGAGAAGCAGAAUUAUGUCAUUGAUCAGUCAAAAUCAAUUCACUCCAUGUUACAGUUCCACAGCAGCAAUGCCAGCUGAAACUGCCUGGCGUGCAAUCAGUUUAAAACAAGAAUAGAGGGGAGGUCAGGAAAAGUGAAGGGCAAUGGUAGUUUGUGAGAGUUGGCUGGAGGCCAAGUGGAGUCAGGUUCAAUGUGGGUGCUGAAGACCAGUCUUCACUGUUACCCUGUUAUACAGAUCACAUUGGAUCAAUCACACAAGGACCCUCCUUUGUGUGUUGUCCUUUGCACAUCACAACUCGGGUCAGUGCCUUGAGGGGCUCGGAUACUUUUAAUUUGGCAACUAACUCAGGUCAGUUUUGCACAAACUAAGCUGUGUCGGGACACUAUUUAAACGGACCACCACUCAUUGCAAUGACCCAGAACUAUGCAGAAAGAGGAAGAACACCAAUACAAAAUCUUCGCUUUGAAUGGAUAUCCCUGCAAUUUCAUCCGCAGGUGCUGACUAAACAGCAACACGAAGAGGACACAUUAUGCCCUAACACACUGGACACACUGCCAUACAUCAAGAACAUAUCAGAACUGACUGACAACUCCUAUGAGCACUAGGAGUUACGGUAGCACACAAGCCCAAAGCCAUGCUACGACAAACAUUCUCAAGGAUUAAAGACACCAUACCCACGACAUGCA